rnacentral:rRNA from 1 species
UACGGGGGGGGCAAGCGUUGUUCGGAAUUACUGGGCGUAAAGGGCUCGUAGGUGGCCAACUAAGUCAGACGUGAAAUCCCUCGGCUUAACCGGGGAACUGCGUCUGAUACUGGUUGGCUUGAGUGCAGGAGAGGAAUGCGGAAUUCCAGGUGUAGCGGUGAAAUGCGUAGAUAUCUGGAGGAACACCGGUGGCGAAGGCGGCAUUCUGGACUGCAACUGACACUGAAAGACGAAAGCCAGGGGAGCAAACGGG